UAAAAAAAAAAAGAAAAAAAGAAAAUCUCGCCAUAGAGCUCUCAAUUCCUCCUAUAAAUACGAGCCUCUUCUUCUUCCCCUAAAACCUAACUCUCUCUAUUUCUUCUCCCAUUUCUCUCUCUCUCUCUAUCUAUCUAGGGUUCUAUACCCUAAUUUCUUUGAUUUUUUUUGUUUCCUUCUGUUGCUGUUCUAAUGGCGGUUCUUAAAAUUGCCUCUGUUUGUAUUCUUCCACAGCUUUCUUGAACUGCAUCCCUUCCUGAACUCAAUUCGCUCUUAAUUUCCCCUUUCUCGAUCUCUCGAUCGAUCUCAAAGCGUUUUUUGUUCAUCGAUUUUGUUGCGGUUCAAUAAAGCUGUGGGAAGAUACAGUCAGAGUCAAAUCAAUUCCAUAAAUCUACAAUUGAAAUCUUCCAUCGCUGCUGAAAUCGAAACGGUAAAUUUAGAGGUUUAUCAUUGCCAUCGGAAAUUUUGUAAGGUCUGUAAUUGCUAAUUUUAAAGCCUUAUCUUUCGAUUUCUCUGUUCUUUUAUAACAUCAUGAUGAUUAUUAUUCCCUCUUUUGAUUUAUUGGAAUUUUAAUCAAUACCUAUUUUUUUCUCCAUUGAUAUAAGGAGGUAUAUGUUGAAUGAAUGAAUGGAUUGAAAUCACCUUUUUUGGUUUUUUUUUAUUCUACUUUUUUUGGGGGGUUUUUUUAUUUUUACUGUGACCCCAUGUGUAGGUUCCAUAGCAGGCAAAAACAAGUUUCUGUGAAAACGGCUUUAAAGCUAUAUAUAUGCCUUUCCAUGAUGAUGAUGAUUAUUAAUUAUUAUUAUUAUGAUUAUAUAUAUAUAUAUGAAUUAUAAUUAAAUUAGUUGCUUUCAAAAGGUUAUAUGGAUCUGUACUUUUACUGUGCCUGUAGAUAAACCAACAGUUUCAUAUGGUUCACUGCAGCCAUAGAUUCCAUCGAGGUUUUAUUUUAUUUACUUUAUAGUUUUCUAAUUUUGUUAAAUUAAUUAAAUGAAUGAAGCUGAUUUAUUUUUUUUCUGGGGGUGAAUUUGUGAAAUUUGAGAUCUCUAUGGGUUGAGUAGAAUUAUUAAAGAGGGGGAAGGAUGAUUAUUCUGUGCAGCAUAGUAAAUGUGAAAUAUGAAAUUAUUCCUAUUGUAUUGAAUGCUAGGUUUAAGGUAUUUGGACCACAUAACAGAAGGCCUUUAAUUGGCUCUUUUUUAGCUUCAAACUCCAUCAAUUCAGGCCAUACAAACACUUUCUUUUCUUUUCUUUAUUUUUGUUUUUUCAUUUUGUCAUCUUCACCUAUCACAUUCACUUUUAAUUUGUCUCUCUUCUGUUCUUUUACUGAAUCAUUAAUGAACUAACUUUAGCUUUUUAUAAUAAAAUUUAUUUUUGUUUAUA